rnacentral:misc_RNA from 1 species
AAGUCGUAACAAGGUUUCCGUAGGUGAACCUGCGGAAGGAUCAUUAUUAUUUGGGUCGGGUUUACCUCUUGUCUAGUUUUUUGUGCUCAAUAUUCAAGAGGAGGUAAACUUUUACCAAAUAAUCCUAUUUCAAAAUAGGAGCAAGAACCCCCUUAUAUUUAAAACCCACUCUUAAAAUAUUCUUACGUAUUUUGAAUGAUAAAAAUUAAAGAUCACUUUCAACAACGGAUCUCUUGGCUCUC